rfam:Capsella rubella cultivar Monte Gargano unplaced genomic scaffold scaffold_6, whole genome shotgun sequence.
UAACCAUGGUGUGGACAAUCUCUCUGAUACCCCUUAAAGCGCACCCAAACAGCUUGAAAGCCUCUAAGAUCCCUUGAGAAAAGAUAGAAAUCUUUUUUCGCAGCUC